AUUGAACGCUGGCGGCAGGCCUAACACAUGCAAGUCGAGCGAGCGGCGGACGGGUGAGUAAUGUAUGGGGACUGCCCGAUAGAGGGGGAUAACUACUGGAAACGGUGGCUAAUACCGCAUACUAUCGGAUAACCCAUAUGGGAUUAGGUAGUUGGUGAGGUAAAGGCUCACCAAGCCGACGAUCUCUAGCUGGUCUGAGAGGAUGACCAGCCAACCUGGGACUUAGACACGGCCCAGACUCCUACGGAGGCAGCAGUGGGGAAUAUUGCGCAAUGGGGGCAACCCUGACGCAUCCAUGCCGCGUGAAUGAAGAAGGCCUUCGGGUUGUAAAGUUCUUUCAGCGAGGAGGCGUUACUCGCAGAAGAAGCACCGGCUAACUCCGUGCCAGCCGCCGCGGUAAUAC
rnacentral:rRNA from 1 species